rnacentral:ncRNA from 1 species
CUAUGACUCUUGUCAUGGCGGAAGGAG